rnacentral:lncRNA from 1 species
GAAUGACUACCUGUAAUAAAGCACACGCUAAUAUAGUAAGGAGCUAUGAAGCCCUUCCCUUCUCGUAACUCUCCCCAUUCAUUGAGCUAUCUUCAGUUUCCUUAAGGUAAGGUGCUCUUCCUUACUUGAUAAUGAUUGGCUACCUAAGGUAAGGGGCCUCUACAGCUUGAGUCGGUCGGUCCGGCUACUCGGAAGGCGUGGCCAUUAGUUGGAGGCCAGGGAGAAAGGCAACUCGUUUCGUCAACUGUGAAGGCGAGGCGGUCAGGGAUGCUGCUGAGCCAACGGGGUCUAAGGCUAUGAAUUUCAAACUGGAAGGGAUCCGGGGCGAGGUACUACCAACCCUGCUUCUGCUGGAUCAAGAAAUUUGAUUUUCGAAUAUUCUUUAUAUCUAAAAAGAUAAAUUUUAUCUAUUUAGAAUAAAUUCUUCUUUUUGAAAUAGAAAAUUUCUUUCAAACCUAGCUCGAUAAGGGAGAGAAUGCCCUUACUUGGAAUCUAAAGCAUUCUUCUUCCUGCUCAUUUCUUCGGGUGUGCCUGUUAGGGUUGGGGACAAGGCAAUGCCAGUUGAACACACCAGUUCAAUAACAAGAGGAGCUGUGUUGCUUGAUGAAAGAAGCGGAUCUGGGUGGUUCAACUGGAUUCCUUGUACCAGUUUAUUCCUUAUAGGUGUUCUGCUAGCUUCAUCGUGCCUGCUUGCAACAAGAAGAUUUUAGUGAGUUCAAUAUUUAUGCAACCAUGCUAAUUUCACCACAAGCUGAUGCCAUCAAAUGCUGAGUUAAGAGAAUCGAGUUGGAACGUACUCUUACCUAGCUCCUACCCAGUUGACAGCUUUUGGAAAGAAGCUAGCUGAAGGUGAUGCAGGGGAUUUUGGUCGAAGAUCCACGUAUAUAAUUCUUUAUUUUACCGUUGGACCGGGUAAAGCCAAAACGCAUAGAAGUUACUGUUCAUAAUUUUACUAUAUUUUUGUAUUUUAUUUAGAAUUAUUUUAUAUUUAUAUAUUUAAUUUAAAACCCUAUUUAGCCUUUGGAAACAAGCUAGUUGCAAUGAUAUAUCUGUUAGUGUUGAGC